AAUUCUCAACUUCAAUAGUUUGUAAUGAACUUUUGAUGUUUGGAUUUGGAGGUUUGCUGGCGUCUUAGAUGCUCGGCUCCUCUUAAAUGCAUUAGUGGAACCCGUUUGUUGGGCCGUCCAUGGUGUGAUAAUUAUCUACGCUUUGGUUGGUUCAAUGACUCUAUGGACUUUUUUCAGAAUGCUUAGGUGUUCUGGCAUGGGUAUUUGUAAUGUUUGCUUUACCUGGUUCAUUAGAGUUGGGACAAUCUGCUCUCUAACCGUCUGUGUAUGCGGACAAUUCCUUUGAC
rnacentral:misc_RNA from 1 species